GCCCAGGUGGUGGAACGGCAGACACGCUACGUUCAGGUCGUAGUGAGCGCAAGCUCGUAAGGGUUCAAAUCCCUUCUUGGGCACCA
rnacentral:tRNA from 1 species